rnacentral:rRNA from 1 species
CGUUCGAUCCUAUUUUGUUGGUUUCUAGGAUUGACGUAAUGAUUAAUAGGGAUAGUUGGGGGCAUUAGUAUUCAAUUGUCAGAGGUGAAAUUCUUGGAUUUAUUGAAGACUAACUACUGCGAAAGCAUUUGCCUAAGGAUGCUUUCAUUAAUCAAGAACGAAAGUUAGGGGAUCGAAGACGAUCAGAUACCGUCGUAGUCUUAACCAUAAACUAUGCCGACUAGGGAUCGGAUGAUGUUAAUUUUUUAAUGACUCAUUCGGCGCCUUACGGGAAACCAAAGUGUUUGGGUUCCGGGGGGAGUAUGGUCGCAAGGCUGAAACUUAAAGGAAUUGACGGAAGGGCACCACCAGGGGUGGAGCCUGCGGCUUAAUUUGACUCAACACGG